UUUAUUUUUCAUCCUCUUUCUAUCUCUCUAUAGUUUUAGAGUCUUUUGUCUCUUUGUUCAAUUUUUCGUCUUCUUUAACAACGGGUGAUAUAUGUGGGUUACUCUUCGACGAUUGUUAUUUCUUAUGUAGAUUCAUUUAAAGAUGAAGCACAAAGGCUGCACAAUAGUUGAAGUUUGACUACAAAGAUUUGUAGAGUUCCUAUAAAAAAAAAUUAAAGGAUUUGUAGAGUUGUAUAUUUUACAAAACUAAUUAAAGUUGUAAUUUUUUUUUAC
rnacentral:lncRNA from 1 species